rnacentral:lncRNA from 1 species
GCCGGAGAAACUCAGGCAGCUGGCAGUUUGACUCUUAAGCACCAGCAUGGUAGACACCAGCCUCCCCUCUCAGUCCUGCGGGCCGUGAAGUGGUGAUAAUAACACACUCUGAGCAGCUGGAGAUUUCUCUGGAGCCAGACUACAGGGGAGACCAUGAAGAAGAAAAUACAGAUGAAACAGGAAGAGCUGAGAAUGCUCCCCUAUGGAGAUGAGCUAGCCCGUUUCCCCUGUCAGCUGGAAUAAGAGCGUGUUUCCAGGAUGCUGUAUACCGCCAUCAGAGCUUAUGACCCACCUGAUUGCAGUAUGAGUGCCUGCGGCUUCUUCCUUCCCCAUGGCCCCAGACAGCCUCAGUGAUUGACCUGUCACCUGUCACCUGUCACCUGUCACCUGUGGCCUGUCACCUGUCACCUGUCACCUGUCACCUGUGGCCUAUGGCCUUGUGUGAACCAUCUUUCAUCUUAGGAAGAGAAAAAGGAAGAGGAAAACAUAGGAAGCACAGAUGAGGGCAGCCCUCCCUGCUCUCAGUCUUACAUAUUGAAAAAAAAAAGCACACCUGCAAAAAUGGGACUUCGUCCAUUAAGGAAGGACAUAACAGCCACGGAGUGUUCUGCCUCACAGCUCUGAGCAA